CUGUUUGCCGGCUGCCAUGAAAGAUGUGACUUUUCUCCUCCUUUGUCUUCUGCCAUGAUUGUGAGACCUCUCCAACCACGUGGAACUAGCACGAAGAAGAGAAAACAGAAAACAUCCAUUGAAUCCUCUGCCUCUGGUAAUGUAUGGCUCCCAGUAUGCCUCCUUCAAGAGCAUGACUGACCCAAUUACUAGUAUGAGCAAAAGGUAUAAUUUUUAAAUGUAUUUACUUGAAUGAGUCAAUAGCAUCUGAUAAAUCAUGCAAUGUAAAUCAGUAAGAUAUACCUAAAUUAACUAAUAUACCAGGACAUACCUCCCAUCUAACCAGCCUUGAAAUGUAGACCAAACUGUCAAAUCUAGAAUUAAAAAAAAAAAAAAGGAAAUAAAUUAGGGC
rnacentral:lncRNA from 1 species